CCCUUAGAUGUUCUGGGCUGCACGCGCGCUACACUGAAGCGUUCAACGAGUAUUCACCUUGCCCGGGAGGGUUGGGUAAUCUUUUGAAAACGCUUCGUGAUGGGGAUAGAUUAUUGCAAUUAUUAAUCUUCAACGAGGAAUUCCUAGUAAGCGCGAGUCAUCAGCUCGUGCUGAUUACGUCCCUGCCCUUUGUACACACCGCCCGUCGCACCUACCGAUUGAAUGGUCCGGUGAAAUCUCCGGACUGGCGUGAGUCGGAGCAAUCUGACAAACGCCGGAAAGUUGAUUAAACCUUACCAUUUAGAGGAAGGUGAANUCGUANCA
rnacentral:rRNA from 1 species